rnacentral:rRNA from 1 species
UACGUAGGGUGCGAGCGUUGUCCGGAAUUAUUGGGCGUAAAGAGCUCGUAGGCGGUUUGUUGCGUCGGCCGUGAAAACCUGCAGCUUAACUGUGGGCCUGCGGCCGAUACGGGCAGACUUGAGUUCGGUAGGGGAGACUGGAAUUCCUGGUGUAGCGGUGAAAUGCGCAGAUAUCAGGAGGAACACCGAUGGCGAAGGCAGGUCUCUGGGCCACUACUGACGCUGAGAAGCGAAAGCAUGGGGAGCGAACAGG